CCGAUAUAUCCUAUGCAUUAGUUUAACAAUGAAGUGCAUAUAUAGUGCGUAAUACAUUUUUUUCCUGUUUUUGUAUAGGUUUUGAUUGUUUUAUUUAAAAACUGUUCUUAAAUCACUUCGAUACGGCGAGAGAGGAUUGCAUUAAAACAACGGAAUUAUAUAUAGCUUGUCAAACCUAUCGUUAAAUACUGUUGGAUAUUAUUUAGAAUUCACAGACUACGAACGCUUGCAAAGAACUAUAGUCUCUAGACGUCACUAGCACAAGUUUUUAAGUUCCACAAAGGUUUCUGCAUACCACAUAAAUAGUCGGAUCACUCGGAUAACACUCGGAGUAGUCUGUUCAGUGUUCACUGUUGACUGUUAUCAAUAUUAACGGAAGCAGCAAAAGCCGGUGAUAAAAAUCACUACUAGCUAAGAUUUCUAUCCAUGCUAAAUCUUGGAGUAAUAGUACGUACACGAACCAUAACGAAAAUGCAUCACAAUUCACAAUGCUAUAUUACUCAUAUAUUUAAAUAUUUUAAUAUUUAACCGUAGGUAGCUUAAUU